rnacentral:tRNA from 1 species
CGGGCUGUAGCGCAGUUGGUAGCGCGCAUCGUUCGGGACGAUGAGGUCGCGAGUUCGAGUCUCGCCAGCCCGA